rnacentral:lncRNA from 1 species
AUGGUUCCCAGGGCUAAUUACGUGAUGAGUCUCUUCACCCUAGUGUUGUUGUUCUCAUCCGAAACAACGUUUGCCGGAGUUUCUUACUUUUCAGAAACCAGUUAGUCUCUUUUCCAAAAAAAUAUAUAUACAUACUAUGUAUGUUCGUAUUCAAUGAAACUUCAGUAUUUUACCGAAAAACUGUAUUCGGAUAUUUUUAUUUAUGUAUUAAAUCUCUCUCUAGAAGGGCCAUGUUUAUGUGUAAUGUAUGUAUACAUUGAUCAAUUUUUUAUUAUUAAUCAAGUUUUUUUAUUGUCAUUGCAGAGGACAACAAAGGUAGCGAGCUUCUGAAGAUGAAUAAUAUUAACAUGGCAAAGAAAAUACGCGGAAAUUCAGGCCGAGCUACCGUGCCUUCAGGCAUCGUCUCAUAG